rnacentral:rRNA from 1 species
AGUGAACGCUGGCGGUAGGCCUAACACAUGCAAGUCGAACGGCAGCACAGUAAGAGCUUGCUCUUACGGGUGGCGAGUGGCGGACGGGUGAGGAAUACAUCGGAAUCUACUUUUUCGUGGGGGAUAACGUAGGGAAACUUACGCUAAUACCGCAUACGACCUACGGGUGAAAGCAGGGGAUCUUCGGACCUUGCGCGAUUGAAUGAGCCGAUGUCGGAUUAGCUAGUUGGCGGGGUAAAGGCCCACCAAGGCGACGAUCCGUAGCUGGUCUGAGAGGAUGAUCACCCACACGGGAACGGACACACGGCCCAGCCUCCUAGGGGAGGAAGAAGUGGGAAAUAUGGGACAAGGGGCGCAAGCCUGACCCCGCCAUACCGCGUGGGUGAAAAAGGCCUCGGGGUUGUAAACCCUUUUUGUGGGAAAAAAAAAGCAGCAGUUAAAUCCCCCCCUGUUCGGCCGGACCCAAAAAAAAAAGCCCGGGCAACCUUCGUC